GCCCGCCUUCUUUUGCCAGCCCCUAUAAGUAGCCGUGGGCGGGAGCCAGGGGAUUGCACCUGUUUCAUUCCAGCUCCCGGAGGACGGAGGGAGGAGACCUGCAUUUCCCAUUCACUACCUUUUCCCUAGCGCAUUUCUCCGCCUUCGCAGCUCUCACUGCUCGGCACGCUCCACUGAGACAUGAGGACGUGGAGACCAGUCUCCUGGACCUGCUUAGGCGGCUGGCUGUGGAUUCUACACGCCUGUGCAGACCCUGGGCCCACCUCUGCUGUCCCAGCCUCUCCAGAGGAUGAGUUCACCCCUGGAGCUGCGUCUCCCACAGCGGCGGCGAGCAGUUUGCUCCGUGCCGGAGUCCUGGCAGCCACAGAGACAGCCCGAUCUCCUCCGUCCCCGUCCGCCAUGGCCGCCAACACCACGUUGCCUGGAGAACGCGCCAUUUCAAGCGGCCACGCCCGCGAAGCCAGCGCCUCUUUUCCGGCAGAGGGAGCAACAGCUAGUUUGGUGUCAGCCGUGAAUGGGGCCAAUGUCAAUUCUGUCCCGGAAACAGCGUCUUCCUCCCCCGAGCCAGGAGCCAGCGGUGGUGAAGCAGCCGAGAUCCCUACAGAAGAAGCAGAAAUGUCAGUCAGCGCCACCAACUCUUCGCACGCCUCUCCGGAAACCAGGACAGUGGCCACGACUCCGGCAGGAGAAGCGGUCGCCGCGUUGGCCUUGUUCUACUCCAGCCCAACAAACCCUCACCCGACCCUCUUCUCCCCUUCCGAGCUGGAGGUCACGAGCUCCGUUCCUGGCGCGUUCUCCGGUGUCGCCACCUCCUCUCCUCUCUCCGCAGCUACUGAGGACUGGACAGCCACCCCCGGCACUGGAUGGGGGCCAGAGGACUUGGCAUCCACUGGCACUGCUGUGUCCAAUGGACCACCUCUUUCUCCAUCGGUGGGAGAGAUGGAGUCAAGUCCUGCGGCGUUCCUGUCUCCGGCUGCCUCUCCCGCUGAGGCCCCCGUCUCAGAGACUGAAAGCCCAGGGCAGGAUGGAUCGAGUGCUCCAGAAUCCCCAGAACCACCUCCAGAGAGC
rnacentral:lncRNA from 1 species